UACAGAGGGGGCAAGCGUUAUUCGGAAUUAUUGGGCGUAAAGGGCGCGUAGGCGGCUUGGCAAGUGGAUGGUGAAAUCCCUCGGCUUAACCGAGGAACUGCCAUCCAGACUGCUUUGCUUGAGGCCGGGAGAGGUAAGUGGAAUUCCCAGUGUAGCGGUGAAAUGCGUAGAUAUUGGGAGGAACACCAGUGGCGAAGGCGGCUUACUGGACCGGUUCUGACGCUGAGGCGCGAAAGCGUGGGGAGCAAACGGG
rnacentral:rRNA from 1 species